ACGCUCGACACCUACGGGAGACAGCAGUUGGGAAUAUUGGACAAUGGAGGAAACUCUGAUCCAGUGACGCCGCGUGAAGGAAGAAGGUCUUCGGAUUGUAAACUUAUUUUGUCAGGGAAGAAAAAUGACUGUACCUGAAGAAAAAGCACCGGCUAACUACGUGCCUGCAGCCGCGGUAAUCUGAGCGGGCUGGCAAGGC
rnacentral:rRNA from 1 species